UACGUAGGAUGCAAGCGUUGUCCGGAAUUAUUGGGCGUAAAGAGCGCGCAGGCGGCCUAUCAAGUCAGGUGUGAAAUAACCAGGCUUAACCUGGUGGGGUCAUUUGAAACUGGCAGGCUAGAGUACAGCAGAGGAUAGCGGAAUUCCCGGUGUAGUGGUGAAAUGCGUAGAUAUCGGGAGGAACACCAGUGGCGAAGGCGGCUAUCUGGGCUGCAACUGACGCUGGGGCGCGAAGGCUAGGGGAGCAAACAGG
rnacentral:rRNA from 1 species